rnacentral:rRNA from 1 species
GACGAACGCUGGCGGCGUGCCUAAUACAUGCAAGUUGAGCGAUGAAGAUUGGUGCUUGCACCAAUUUGAAAAGCAGCGAACGGGUGAGUAACGCGUGGGGAAUCUGCCUUUGAGCGGGGGACAACAUUUGGAAACGAAUGCUAAUACCGCAUAACAACUUUAAACAUAAGUUUUAAGUUUGAAAGAUGCAAUUGCAUCACUCAAAGAUGAUCCCGCGUUGUAUUAGCUAGUUGGUGAGGUAAAGGCUCACCAAGGCGAUGAUACAUAGCCGACCUGAGAGGGUGAUCGGCCACAUUGGGACUGAGACACGGCCCAAACUCCUACGGGAGGCAGCAGUAGGGAAUCUUCGGCAAUGGACGAAAGUCUGACCGAGCAACGCCGCGUGAGUGAAGAAGGUUUUCGGAUCGUAAAACUCUGUUGGUAGAGAAGAACGUUGGUGAGAGUGGAAAGCUCAUCAAGUGACGGUAACUACCCAGAAAGGGACGGCUAACUACGUG